UUAAGCGACUAAGCGUACACGGUGGAUGCCCUGGCAGUCAGAGGCGAUGAAGGACGUGCUAAUCUGCGAUAAGCGUCGGUGAGGUGAUAUGAACCGUUAUAACCGGCGAUUUCCGAAUGGGGAAACCCAGUGUGUUUCGACACACUAUCAUUAACUGAAUCCAUAGGUUAAUGAGGCGAACCGGGGGAACUGAAACAUCUAAGUACCCCGAGGAAAAGAAAUCAACCGAGAUUCCCCCAGUAGCGGCGAGCGAACGGGGAGGAGCCCAGAGCCUGAAUCAGUGUGUGUGUUAGUGGAAGCGUCUGGAAAGGCGCGCGAUACAGGGUGACAGCCCCGUACACAAAAAUGCACAUAUUGUGAGCUCGAUGAGUAGGGCGGGACACGUGGUAUCCUGUCUGAAUAUGGGGGGACCAUCCUCCAAGGCUAAAUACUCCUGACUGACCGAUAGUGAACCAGUACCGUGAGGAAAGGCGAAAAGAACCCCGGCGAGGGGAGUGAAAAAGAACCUGAAACCGUGUACGUACAAGCAGUGGGAGCCUCUUAAUGGGGUGACUGCGUACCUUUUGUAUAAUGGGUCAGCGACUUAUAUUCUGUAGCAAGGUUAACCGAAUAGGGGAGCCGAAGGGAAACCGAGUCUUAACUGGGCGUUAAGUUGCAGGGUAUAGACCCGAAACCCGGUGAUCUAGCCAUGGGCAGGUUGAAGGUUGGGUAACACUAACUGGAGGACCGAACCGACUAAUGUUGAAAAAUUAGCGGAUGACUUGUGGCUGGGGGUGAAAGGCCAAUCAAACCGGGAGAUAGCUGGUUCUCCCCGAAAGCUAUUUAGGUAGCGCCUCGUGAAUUCAUCUCCGGGGGUAGAGCACUGUUUCGGCAAGGGGGUCAUCCCGACUUACCAACCCGAUGCAAACUGCGAAUACCGGAGAAUGUUAUCACGGGAGACACACGGCGGGUGCUAACGUCCGUCGUGAAGAGGGAAACAACCCAGACCGCCAGCUAAGGUCCCAAAGUCAUGGUUAAGUGGGAAACGAUGUGGGAAGGCCCAGACAGCCAGGAUGUUGGCUUAGAAGCAGCCAUCAUUUAAAGAAAGCGUAAUAGCUCACUGGUCGAGUCGGCCUGCGCGGAAGAUGUAACGGGGCUAAACCAUGCACCGAAGCUGCGGCAGCGACACUAUGUGUUGUUGGGUAGGGGAGCGUUCUGUAAGCCUGUGAAGGUGUACUGUGAGGUAUGCUGGAGGUAUCAGAAGUGCGAAUGCUGACAUAAGUAACGAUAAAGCGGGUGAAAAGCCCGCUCGCCGGAAGACCAAGGGUUCCUGUCCAACGUUAAUCGGGGCAGGGUGAGUCGACCCCUAAGGCGAGGCCGAAAGGCGUAGUCGAUGGGAAACAGGUUAAUAUUCCUGUACUUGGUGUUACUGCGAAGGGGGACGGAGAAGGCUAUGUUGGCCGGGCGACGGUUGUCCCGGUUUAAGCGUGUAGGCUGGUUUUCCAGGCAAAUCCGGAAAAUCAAGGCUGAGGCGUGAUGACGAGGCACUACGGUGCUGAAGCGACAAAUGCCCUGCUUCCAGGAAAAGCCUCUAAGCAUCAGGUAACAUCAAAUCGUACCCCAAACCGACACAGGUGGUCAGGUAGAGAAUACCAAGGCGCUUGAGAGAACUCGGGUGAAGGAACUAGGCAAAAUGGUGCCGUAACUUCGGGAGAAGGCACGCUGAUAUGUAGGUGAAGCGACUUGCUCGUGGAGCUGAAAUCAGUCGAAGAUACCAGCUGGCUGCAACUGUUUAUUAAAAACACAGCACUGUGCAAACACGAAAGUGGACGUAUACGGUGUGACGCCUGCCCGGUGCCGGAAGGUUAAUUGAUGGGGUUAGCGGUAACGCGAAGCUCUUGAUCGAAGCCCCGGUAAACGGCGGCCGUAACUAUAACGGUCCUAAGGUAGCGAAAUUCCUUGUCGGGUAAGUUCCGACCUGCACGAAUGGCGUAAUGAUGGCCAGGCUGUCUCCACCCGAGACUCAGUGAAAUUGAACUCGCUGUGAAGAUGCAGUGUACCCGCGGCAAGACGGAAAGACCCCGUGAACCUUUACUAUAGCUUGACACUGAACAUUGAGCCUUGAUGUGUAGGAUAGGUGGGAGGCUUUGAAGUGUGGACGCCAGUCUGCAUGGAGCCGACCUUGAAAUACCACCCUUUAAUGUUUGAUGUUCUAACGUGGGCCCCUUACCGGGGUUGCGGACAGUGUCUGGUGGGUAGUUUGACUGGGGCGGUCUCCUCCUAAAGAGUAACGGAGGAGCACGAAGGUUGGCUAAUCCUGGUCGGACAUCAGGAGGUUAGUGCAAUGGCAUAAGCCAGCUUGACUGCGAGCGUGACGGCGCGAGCAGGUGCGAAAGCAGGUCAUAGUGAUCCGGUGGUUCUGAAUGGAAGGGCCAUCGCUCAACGGAUAAAAGGUACUCCGGGGAUAACAGGCUGAUACCGCCCAAGAGUUCAUAUCGACGGCGGUGUUUGGCACCUCGAUGUCGGCUCAUCACAUCCUGGGGCUGAAGUAGGUCCCAAGGGUAUGGCUGUUCGCCAUUUAAAGUGGUACGCGAGCUGGGUUUAGAACGUCGUGAGACAGUUCGGUCCCUAUCUGCCGUGGGCGCUGGAGAACUGAGGGGGCUGCUCCUAGUACGAGAGGACCGGAGUGGACGCAUCACUGGUGUUCGGGUUGUCAUGCCAAUGGCACUGCCCGGUAGCUAAAUGCGGAAGAGAUAAGUGCUGAAAGCAUCUAAGCACGAAACUUGCCCCGAGAUGAGUUCUCCCUGACUCCUUGAGAGUCCUGAAGGAACGUUGAAGACGACGACGUUGAUAGGCCGGGUGUGUAAGCGCAGCGAUGCGUUGAGCUAACCGGUACUAAUGAACCGUGAGGCUUAACCU
rnacentral:rRNA from 1 species